rnacentral:rRNA from 1 species
CGCCUCUUGAACUUUAUAAGAGGUCCAGCCUGCCCAGUGACUCUGUUCAACGGCCGCGGUAUCCUAACCGUGCGAAGGUAGCGUAAUCACUUGUUCUUUAAAUGUGGACUAGUAUGAAUGGCACUACGAGGGUUAUACUGUCUCCUUUUUCUAAUCAGUGAAACUAAUUUUCCCGUGAAGAAGCGGGAAUAUAACUAUAAGACGAGAAGACCCUAUGGAGCUUUAAACAACCCAGCAAUUACUUCUAAAAUUAUAAAUUUCAGAAUAUUCAUUUUUUCUAAGUAACAUGUCUGCAAGUUUUUGGUUGGGGUGACCAUGGAGAAUAACAUAACCUCCAUAUUGAAUGAAUUCCCUUCUAAGCUAAAAAUUACCUAUUGAAGCAUCAAUAUACUGACAUCUAUUGACCCAAUAUAUUUGAUCAACGAACCAAGUUACCCUAGGGAUAACAGCGCAAUCCACUUCAAGAGCCCCUAUCGACAAGUGGGUUUACGACCUCGAUGUUGGAUCAGGGUAUCCCAGUGGCGCAGCCGCUACUAAAGGU